AGUUAUACGUAAAUACUUUUUGUAACGUAAAAGCAAAAUAAUUUCAUUCAUACUGUGACACAGUAAACCAAUGCAUUUAAAUUAAAUUAAUUUAAUUUACAAUAUCAAGCGGGCCCACGAAUGUCUAGAAGUGAGGAAAACGGUGAACCUACAGUUCGGAGGACGCAAGUCCAAUGGAAGCCCUCGAUGAAAUCAGCUAUCUACUGUAGACACCUAAAAAAUAAAUAAAAAAUUUAAAUUAUAAUAAAAUAAAAUAAAAUAUAAAAAAUAAAUAAAGAA
rnacentral:lncRNA from 1 species